rnacentral:rRNA from 1 species
UACGAAGGGGGCUAGCGUUGCUCGGAAUCACUGGGCGUAAAGGGUGCGUAGGCGGGUCUUUAAGUCGGGGGUGAAAGCCUGUGGCUCAACCACAGAAUUGCCUUCGAUACUGUUUGGCUUGAGACCGGAAGAGGUAAGUGGAACUGCGAGUGUAGAGGUGAAAUUCGUAGAUAUUCGCAAGAACACCAGUGGCGAAGGCGGCUUACUGGUCCGGUUCUGACGCUGAGGCGCGAAAGCGUGGGGAGCAAACAGG